rnacentral:lncRNA from 1 species
CCCUGAUGUAACAGCCCUUGCAUAACUGGGAUGAGGAGCCUGAAAAAACAGAAGCUGAGAACAUCAUAUUGGGUUUUGCCAAGGAGGAGUUGGGGAUACAGCAAUAUUCAUCUUGUUUAGUUGGCAAUUUUUGUAUGUUCCAUUCCAAAAACAAAGCAACAGAAAUUGAAGCCUGACCAGCUGCCAAGUCACGUUUUCUGGGUCCUGGUCAUCAUUGUGGUCGCCAUCCACAUGGAUCUCGAGUGACAAGGCAGAGAUGAUAUCAGAAUCAUACCCAAGGAAGAGCAGAAUGGGCAUUUCCCCAUCACUUCCUUUUUGUCCUCACAACCCAGGCUGAUCCAUCUCUUUCCUUAUUUUUAUUGAGUAGUAUAAAAUGUUCUUCGUUUUAUGACAGCAUUUGAGUGAGUUACAGAGAAUUAAAAUAAAUCAUCAUAUAUUACUUAUGACUCCUGACCUAGAUUUUCUAUAAUAUUUUUCCACUAAAAAAUAUAGCUAACCUUACAGCAAUUUCUCUUUAGGCUAAAUUUUAUCCUGCAGUUACGAAGGACAGGGUUAUUAGGAAUAAGUUCUGUGUGAUUUCUGAAAUUCGGCUUUCCUUUUCUAGCUUGAAUAACCUUGAAUUUGAAUUGGGCUUUUGUGCAUGUGUGUGUGUUAAUGUAGGUACCCUCUGCAGCUAGGGUGUAAGCAUAUCAAAUCAAUACCAUCAAAGAAGCCCAGCUCUUUGUGUUCCAGCCCCAGAGAUGGACUGUUAGGUUAUGGUAGUCAGGACAUUCUAUUUUGUUCUCCAAGAUCUUGGAAAUGAGGUUACUCUUCUGAAAAUAUGGCUUUAGGAAAUGAAUAACAGUCAACUCUUUCCAGAUACUAAAGUGAAAGGUUCAGACCAGACCCGUCUAAUAAAACUUUCUGUACUGAUGGGAACGUUAGAUAUCUGUGCUAUUCUUAUAUGAUACCCACCAAUUAUAUGUGCUUAUGGAACACUUGAAGUGUGGCUAGUGUGACUGAGGAACUGAAUUUUUAAGAUAAUUUAUUUCUAAUUUAUUUAAGUGUACAUAGCUACAUUUCUGGCUCAUGGUUACUCUCAGGGCAUAUUAUAUUGUUAUUCCUACAAUCACGUAUGUUCCAAAGCCAAUGAUUAGAACUCUCUUGUCUAAAUUAGUUGAGCAGUCAAAUCUAGUUUUUGCCAAUGAAGGAGGCAUUUUGUUGACAACUAUAGGGCUGGUUCUUUUCAGGACUCUGUUACUUCAGGCUGUGUUUAUUUUCAUCUUGAUUGCAGGGGAGGCGUGGGUAUAUAAGUCUCCAUGUGUGUGUGAUUUCUGUGGCAGUUUGCUCUUAGAAACUCUCCUAGACUGAAAUUUACUUGCACUUGAGCUUUUUAAUCAAUAUGCUCUCCACUUAUCUGAUGUUGGAAUCCUUUCGCCUAAUGAUUUUGUCCUGUGACUUAACCACCGAAAGUUUUCCACAGAAAAUAAGUAAACAACCUUCUCAAGGUGACAGUUUUUCAAAUCAAAGGAAGCCAUUGCUGUUUGGAAUCAAAGAGAAAGUUUGUGUGUGAGUGUUUGGGGCUUCCCCGGGUGUUUCUGGUUCACUCUCUUCUGGCUGGGUGAGUACUGCCAAGCCCUCUGUGCUUAGAGGGGCCCAUGGGGUCAUUCACGACACUGAGUUAUGAGAAGAAGCGGUGCGUGCCACUUGGGGGGUAGUCAAGGGUUUAAUUGCUGAUGCAGGACACUGCAGAGCUCUUCCCCCUUCGCCCCAGCAGCUGGCAACGUUUGUGAUGGUGCCUAUUCCGUCACCUCGGGACCCAGAAUGACUAAGACAAGCUGAGAUUUCUUGGUGGCUUGCAAUGGAUAUAUGAUAUGGAAAAGAAAUAAAUCUUUGAUGUUUCCAGUCAGCAGACUGAUACAUAUCUAAGUAAAGAUUCUGAGUAGAAUACAGGAGUAAGCCAAAAUAGCAGUGGAACUUGGAGAGAGAUGAACUAUCUGAAGUUGAAAUCAACUGACCACGUGUUUGUCAAAACCCGCAUGACACACUGGAUGAGUACAUCAAGAAGGCUUUGGAACUUUUGGGAAUCAGGCAAUUUGUGGAGCCCUGGGUAAAAUGCUUUCUAAACAAAUAUCAGUGCCGGGUUUCUUUGUAGAGUGAAAAAGUGCUGAGUGUUGGCGAUGAAGCUCAGCAGUCUCAGAGUUGCCCCACGUUAAAGGGCCAUGCCGAAAACUCCUCCAUCUGUGGCCAAGAUCAAUUGAAGGGAGGAUGCUUAGCAGGUGGAAUUAUGUUUUGAUUAUAUUUUUUAGUUUUGAAGAGGAAACUGGGUGAUGGAAAAAUAAAGAGCUAGAGGUAGGAUGUUGGCAAUGACAUCGACUCAAAUUCCUACAGUUACUGUUUCUUAGCCUGAAGCCUAGGCUUGAAAUUUGUGUAACAGUUCUCAUAUCAGGAAAUCUAAUAGCCUCUAAGUCAUGUGUUGAUAAUAUCAGGUUAUUUUUACAUUAAACCCCAGUUUCAUUAAUAUGACCUCUUAAAGAAUCACAUACAUUAUUCUUUUCAAUAAAAAUAUUCAUAAAAAUCACUUGGCACCACAUUCAGUUCUUCAGCUUAAUUACAAUCAAUAAUACUAAUUAAUUAUUAGUAUUACUUAAUAUAAUGUCAUUACUAAUAGUUCCAUUAGUAAUUAUAAUGUCAUUACUAAUAAUUCCAGUUAUCAUAACAACAAUAAUAAUAAUGAGUAAUUAAUGACUUCUAUGUUAAUGCUCUUUCUAUUCCCUGGCACUGUAGUAAACACUAUAUAUGAAUUAUUUUAUUUAAUCCUAGCAACAACACUCUAUAAUUUAUAUUUUACAGAAAAGGGAACAGUCUCUAAAGUCUGGGAAACUUGGUGCAGGCCCAGUAGUUGGCAAGCCAUAGAAUGGUUUGGAGUCGUGUGAAUCCAAAGACUGUUUUUUGGGAGUUCCCAUUCGUGGCUCAGUGUUAACAAAUCCGACUGGGAACCAUGAAGUUGCGGGUUUGAUCCCUGGCCUCGCUCAGUGGGUUAAGGAUCCAGCGUUGCCGUGAGCUGUGGUGUAGGUCACAGACGCGGCUCGGAUCCCGCGUGGCUGUGGCUGUGGCUGUGGCAUAGCCUGGGACCCUCCAUCUUUAGAAUAUCAACUUUAAUAUGAUCUGUACUUUGAUUGUAUUUAGUUAAAUCUUUUACUCAAAGGCAUCACCAAUUUGAGAAAAAAAAAAAAA